rnacentral:rRNA from 1 species
UACGUAGGGGGCGAGCGUUGUCCGGAUUUAUUGGGCGUAAAGAGCUCGUAGGCGGCUUGGCAAGUCGGGUGUGAAACCUCCAGCUCAACCUGGAGACGCCACUCGAUACUGCCAUGGCUAGAGUCCGGUAGGGGACCACGGAAUUCCUGGUGUAGCGGUGAAAUGCGCAGAUAUCAGGAGGAACACCGGUGGCGAAAGCGGCUCACUGGACCACAACUGACGCUGAUGCACGAAAGCUAGGGGAGCAAACAGG